rnacentral:lncRNA from 1 species
AAAUGUAUCAGAAUGACAAUUAUGCAUUCAUGAACUAUGCCAGAGUAAUGUUUACAGAUACUUUGUAAUGACUUCAGGAGGCACGUUCGGGGGGGAUUGUGUGGCAGUUCCCUCAUCUUUUACAGUGGUUUCUCCACACUCUGGUUUAUGACGCCAUGCUCAGUAUCAAAAGGCUUGGCAGGAGGGGGCCCACUAACCAUUGCUCUUCAGUCCUACAGGAAAGGCGCUUCUGCCAAAGUCCCUGUUUUCUGAGAAGCACUGCAUACAUCUGUAGGUACUGGAAAUCCAUCUGCACCAGGGUUAGAUCUAAUCCCAGGAAAAUGACCAGAGAUAAAGUUAUAUUCAGUUUAGUGUCAGAUGAGUUUUGGAGCCAUAUACCAUAAUGAAUUCAUAAAAAUCAAUAUAAAAUAUUUUCACUCAAGAUUCUGGUAACGAGCAUAUGUUUGUGAGCUACUUCUUUUUCUGUGUCAGACUUAGUCACGAGCAAUGUGUUUAAGGGGACACAGUUAUAUGAAGUAGGUGGAAACACAUAUACUCAUAUUUGGUCUGCUAUUUGGAAGUUGUGUUGGGUCAAACUGGGCUCCUUAAGUUUGGUAUACAUUUCUUUUUUUGUGCUUAUUGUAAUGAAGCUUAAGCAAGAUUCUCAAUAUACCGCUUCAUUGUUGAAAUGCUUUAAGGCAAUUGGCUUUGAAUCUCAUACUUUACUUCCUCCCAGGCAUGCCUCAGUUGUCCAGAAACACACUGUUUAUCUUAUCGCUUAAGUCAUGUCCAGAAAGAGCAACCAUGUAUCUUAUAUACUAUGUAGUCUGUUUGCUUAAGGAGCCAUAUACCAUAUGAUUCCUAGAUCUGGUCUAAAUUAAUCCCCCAUGCCCCCGAAAAAAACCAACCUGCUCUGAAACUUUUGGCAUACUCAAGUCAUAAAUAAUAGGACCAUUAAAACAAUACAUUAGUCUCUGACCCUCUGAACGUAGCCAUUGGAAGAACCGAGUGCCCUGUGAACAGGAGAGGACGUAACUACGUUUAAGUGAAGCUUUAAAAUACGAAUUUUUGAUAGUUCACAAGAAACAGGUUUACAGAAGGCGUUAUUCAAACAAAAUGUGUACACUAUUUGCCUAAUCAUUAUGGAGUACAUGAUUUAAAAAUAAAUAAACAAAAGAACCUCCCUUAGACCAGCAGCCAUUAGCAUAGCAAGAUGGGCUUUAAAGAUGAUAUACCACACAAACAGACAUGCCGUGGAGAAACACUCCUGUCAGAAUCUAACCUGGAUUCUUGAAUAGAGGAAGCAUUGGUGGUGGGAAGCACAUGGCAGAUAGGAUAUGCGCAUGUGUCUAAGAUGGUCUCAUCAAGAUGGUGAGACUCUUGACUCUCACGGCCUCGGGCUGAGGCCCUCUCUGGGCUUUGCCAAGAUUAUUCUCCACUGGAACCACAGCUUUGUGUUCCAUGACGACAUGUCUAGUUUUUAGAGUUUAUCAACAGAAAAGUUUACAAAACUGAGUCUGGUUGAAUCUCUGUGAGGCAUUCAACUUUAAAGGGUCAACACAUCUGUCGGCAUUUUGCACACUUAUAUAUUAUUAUGAUACAACAUAUUACUUUAUGGUAAUUUUUAUUUUUUACAUAUAACUACCUCCAUGAAUCUGAUGAAAUGGCAGCGGUGUGUUAAAGUGUGUUCUUAAGACAAAAAAAGCAAUGUUUCAAACGCUUUUCAGCAGUAGGCCAUGGUGUUGCAUGUGUGUCGGUGACUUACCCAUUGGACUCAUGACUUUUUUGUUGCCAUGGUUUUCUUUCACAACAUCCUUUGGCUUCCAACUGUAAGCCUGUUGUUCCCCUUCCUUUCUCCCUUCUCCCCCAUGAAAGCACAUCUGAUUUGUUACAAAUGAAUGAACAUUUUAAAAUUACUGUCUUCCCCGCUUCUCUACUUCUGUUAUUAGAGAGAGAGAGAAAAAAGUUCUCUUUGGCAAAGAGCCACUUGGUAAACAUUUAGGAAGUUAUUAAUUCCUAUAGCAAUUGAAUUGGAUUGCUAGUGCCCCCCCCCUCCAGUAAGAAAAGACAUGAGAACUUUGAAGCACUUUGGGCCUCUCUGCUUUUAUCAUAUGCUACCCUAUGGAGCCCAAACUUCCUUCUUAUUAAAAGAACUGUGCCGUGCAUUCUGGGAUGUCUGUUAAGCAAUUUAUCUACCGUUUGAUAUAUCUUACACAUCUCAGGAGACCUUAAUGAGUGCAAAAAUAGGAUGUGUGCACACCCAAUAGGGAAAACCAAUAGGAAAGAAGAAAUGAGAGCAGCCAGGUAGAAAUAAGAAAUGCCUGUGUUUUAUAUGUUGGAGAAUUCACAUUCAGGAAACACAAGUGGAAAGGGAAUGUGGAGGAGCAGUGAUUUAAACACCAGCUGUUCCUAAAUGUCUCUUUCUGAAAACGUUACAAUGUACAAUGAAAUUCUAUUGUGGCUGCCACCCCCGCCAUUGUCAAAGCCAUCCAAUAACGUCCUGUGAGCGAGGGACUCCUUGGCCCGUGUUUAAGGCUUGGGGAAAUUAGAAACAAGAAAAAUGAAUGCAAAAGCCAUGGGAGGCAUUGUUUUUCUUUGGGCUAGUUAAACAUGGCGGAAAGGGAUUGCUAUUGUCCGAGCUUUGCCAAGAAAUACAAAAAGAAUCAGCUGUCACCUCAUCCUUCUGGAAGAAGGUUUUAUAGUAUUAAUGAUACAAGUGAUAUUUUCCCAUGGAGUUUUCCUUAGGAUACAUUUCAUGAAUUAUACACAGGAGACAUUUUAUUAUUAGAUCUCAUGUGUUUGCAAAAGGUACUGGCUUCUCCCUGAUUGAUGCCCGUCCCCUUGGCUUGCGUCAGCAAUGCAGAGGGGCUCCGUGGUGACGGCUUCUAUGAUCCAUAUGCCUGUGUCGUUAUUAUUGUUGUUCACAGGCUUAAUGGUUGCAAAAUUUAGAAUUCGGCAAAGCUCCAGGGGAAACGAGCGGUCUUGUGAUUGUAUACAGGCAGUCAGAGGCCUUUAACGGCUCAUUGCUGGCUUCACUUGUGAACACACACACCCGUCCGACUAGGAAAAGGGUAUUUCCGAGUGAGGUACCAAUGGCUCUGGAAAGGCAGAAAUGGAAGGUUAGAGCCAGGCUGGUCCUUGUGCACCUGCCUACCUCCCUGUCCAAAGGCUGACCUUGGUACCCCCCAUUCCCCUACUCUUGCCCCAAAAGAGGUACCACAUCUGAGACCUGAGCUCCCCUCCAAUCCCAGUCCUCUCCAGCUCCGGGACCUUCAUCCUAUAGAACAUUCUAGACAGCCCUGACUUCCUUUCCUCUGAGAGUUACCCUCUCUGCCUCCUUGUCUCCUCCUCCCACCUAGAUACCUAUUCCACCACCACUGUUUCCACAUUGGAAGAGCAGAAUACUGUGUAGUAUUGUGCACGCAUGCCAGUUAGGAGUAGAGCUGCCCUAGAGUCACUUCAUGUAAGUGUCAACAGGUACAAAUGUAAAGUCCUUAGAGCAGUGACACCUGUACUCUCUGGAAGAGAAUUCAAUUUGACCCUCCAAGUUCCAAGGGAUCAUGGCUCUGCAGGUGUCUUUCUCUGCGUGGCUGACUGUGACGAUUACAUUAGGGUCAAUGAGCUAAGAAGUACAUGUGGGAUUCACUAUGUUAGGAAGGAGUUUUGCAGCCAAGACUGCCUUGAAUAAAAAAUGUUUUUGCACUGAAAAAAAAAAAACUUUAAAUGACUUGGUCUCUGGUUGCUGUAAAGGUCAUCCAAGAUGGAUGUUCUGUUUAUAUUGUAUAGUAUUUCAUAAGAAAUAACUGCAGUUCAUGAAACGUCUUCCCUACUGUUACUGAUUUCUAACAGCACAUUUGUAACAUGGUUUUUAUCGUGUCCGUGUACCAUAUUGUAAAUGAUGAUUCCUUGUCAUCCUUAGUACAAUAAGUUAAAAGG